rnacentral:rRNA from 1 species
GACGAACGCUGGCGGCGUGCUUAACACAUGCAAGUCGAACGGAAAGGCCCUGCUUUUGUGGGGUGCUCGAGUGGCGAACGGGUGAGUAACACGAGAGUAACGUGCCCUUGACUUUGGGAUAACUUCAGGAAACUGGGGCUAAUACCGGAUAGGAGCUCCUGCUGCAUGGUGGGGGUUGGAAAGUGUCGGCGGUUGGGGAUGGACUCGCGGCUUAUCAGCUUGUUGGUGGGGUAGUGGCUUACCAAGGCUUUGACGGGUAGCCGGCCUGAGAGGGUGACCGGCGACAUUGGGACUGAGAUACGGCCCAGACGCCUACGGGAGGCAGCAGUGGGGAAUAUUGCACAAUGGGCGGAAGCCUGAUGCAGCAACGCCGCGUGCGGGAUGACGGCCUUCGGGUUGUAAACCGCUUUCGCCUGUGACGAAGCGGGAGUGACGGUAAUGGGUAAAGAAGCACCGGCUAACUACGUG